UACGAAGGGUGCUAGCGUUGUUCGGAAUCAUUGGGCGUAAAGCGUGCGUAGGCGGCUUAAUAAGUCAGCUGUGAAAGCCCAGGGCUUAACCCUGGAAUUGCAGUUGAAACUGUUAGGCUAGAGUAUGAAGAGGGAUAGUGGAAUUCCUAGUGUAGGGGUGAAAUCCGUAGAUAUUAGGAGGAACACCGGUGGCGAAAGCGACUAUCUAUGUCAUUACUGACGCUGUUGCACGAAAGCGUGGGGAGCAAAC
rnacentral:rRNA from 1 species